CCUACGGGAGGCAGCAGUGAGGAAUAUUGGUCAAUGGUCGGGAGACUGAACCAGCCAAGCCGCGUGAGGGAGGAAGGUACAGAGUAUCGUAAACCUCUUUUGUCAGGGAACAAAGGCGGGGACGUGUCCCCGGAUGAGUGUACCUGAAGAAAAAGCAUCGGCUAACUCCGUGCCAGCAGCCGCGGUAAUACGGAGGAUGCGAGCGUUAUCCGGAUUUAUUGGGUUUAAAGGGUGCGUAGGCGGACUGUCAAGUCAGCGGUAAAAUACGGGGGCUCAACCUCCGCCCGCCGUUGAAACUGACGGUCUUGAGUGGGCGAGAAGUAUGCGGAAUGCGUGGUGUAGCGGUGAAAUGCAUAGAUAUCACGCAGAACUCCGAUUGCGAAGGCAGCAUACCGGCGCCCAACUGACGCUGAAGCACGAAAGCGUGGGUAU
rnacentral:rRNA from 1 species